AUUCAGCUGACGAGUCCCGAAUAGGAUGAAACGCAAGUCGUUGAU
rnacentral:hammerhead_ribozyme from 1 species